UUUGGUUGUAGUGGACUAGCUUUAUGUGGGGCUAAGUCAAGCAGUUGCUUUUAGUUGGUCAGAUUAUUAUUACUAGUAGAGAAAGCCAAGUUUUAGAAUUAACCCACGUUAUUAACCCAAACGUACCCUUUCCAAACGGAAAGAAUACCACUUACCGUUACCAUAGUUAAUGCCAAACCAUCAUUCUCAUUGCCACCUGUAAUCCGAACAUCUCUGAUCAAGUGCCACUAAUCAAUGGAGCUCCCUUGGCCGCUCAUAACCGCGAGCACAGCUGAUAUAUCAGUUUCAUAACACUCUACAGAGGUUGCGCACUUUACCCACAAGCCGUGAUUCCCUCUUGCCUCGGGCCGAUCAAACCCUUAAACACUACCAAGGUGAAUAGGCAGGGUCUCACUACGUAGCCUUUACAAAGAUUCCCUGGGGUUGUAGCCACCCGUUAGGUUUCCUAAAUGCACCGCACUCCUCCCCAAGGGGCGAACCAACCUUAGCAGAGCGAGCCGCAUACACCGAGCCCCAUUAACGGCACGACGGCGAAGCGAACUACACCCCAGUUCCUCUAAUUACUCAGCUAAGGGCAUCCCAUUCCACCCUCAUGGUUGCACUGUUUUCCCGGGCGGUCAUCCAACGAACAGGUCCUUACGGAGAAGCACUCGAGAAACCGCUCGAGCCCCCUUAAAUGCCACAAGUAUAUCAUAAUAAAGAAGGGAAACAGCGUAUCAUUAAUAAAUCUCAUCAUGUUCAUUGAUUAUGGUUAAGCACUAGCAUAAAGCUAAACCAUAAUAAUCCAACCCAAAUAGGUAAACAAGGACAUGGAUAACAAAAACUAGUCAAUCCUUAGGUAUAACUGUGUAAAUGCGGGAAGUGAAUUAUAGAAUGUAUAGGACAAAGAUAGGUCAAGGGACACUUGCCUUCACCAAACAGAUGCUCAGGGUCUUCAUCCUCGUAGAACUCGAAGAGUUCGAUCACUUGGUCGCCAAGCUUGAUCAUCGAUCCCUCGAAGCUCGGAAACGGAUCACAGUCUAUUCGUGACGCACAGCGAAUACAAACAGGCACAAACAAACAUAUAUAUAUAUGCAUAAGAACAUUACACCAUUCAAAUAAAAAAAUAACAAAAUAUGCAAAACGAAGUAGAGUGCGUUACUACGGUCACACGAGGAAAAGAAGCGUCGAAAUCGAAGCUAUGGUCAAGAAGUUAACGGGUUUACGCUAAACAAAUACUAGUUAAAACAUUUGAUUCGACCUGAUUAUAUUAAUCGAUAUUUAUUAUAUAAGCCUAAGUGGAAUACUACGCAUUUAAUCUAGUUAGAAUGUUAAUCUAAUAAAUAUUAGUCGAGCGAACCUUAAGUUAAUUAUCUAAAACAUAUGACCUGACGAAUUAACGUUAUUAACAUGAGUAAUUAUAAGCAAAAACAAUUUAUUAUCACACACAGACGCCGCACGACCCACGUGAUCGACACGCGAGAUACACGCUAACGGUCCACGGUAAGGCAAACGACACGAGUAAACGGCACACGCGACGCGCACACACGACGUGUGACAACGCGGGCGAACAGCACGCGCGACACGUGCUAACCAACGUGACUACGCGCGCGAAUAGCUCAAUGACGCGCAUACGAUGUCGCGCGCGAACAACGACAAAUAAAUAAUUAAAUAAAAGUAUUUAAAUUGGUAUUAAACAAGUUAAUUAACAUUUAUAUUUAUAAAAGCAUGAGUUAAAACUAUAGACUCGUUCUAAUUAAAUUGUUAUUUUAAUAACCCUCAAGCAAAUCAAUAAUUAAUUAUUUAACUAAAACAUGUGUGGUAACAACAUAAUAAUUUUAACGUGCGUACAAGAUCAUUACACGGUUAAUAUAACUGGAACGGAAUGAAUCAAAUAUCUAAUGCCAAAGUUAAUACAUACUCAUUAAUCGCAGAUUAACGACGACGUGGUGCAAUCCUAUCGACCGACCACUUACCACAAAAAGGGUCACACGAGGUGCAGCCACAGAAAAUCUUUAGAUGUGAGAUCUGGUGUGGCUAGCAUCUCCUUUCUCUCCACCAACUGCUCACUCCUUCACAAUUCUCUUCUCCCUCGUCUGCUGCGCACGCACGAACUGAAAUGGUUGAUUCGAUUUAUGAGUUCCGUGCAUAGGGGGUGAAAAAUGAAAGAAAAUUGGAUGCUUUUCCGUUGUCUGGGGAUAGUCCCAAAAGGAGUAGCAAAUGAUUUUUAAUAAAAUGCUUUUGGAUUCAAUCGUGCUCCAGCUGCAAAAUGAUUUUUACUGUAUGCAUACGGACCUACGAAUGGGGCUGGAGGUUCGAUGUAUCUUCCUGAGGCCAGGGAUCUUCUACUACAUCUGGAAGUCGCAUACUGCUUUAUUGGUUGUUCUCUCUUCAACCUUCCAUGUGCCUCCACUCCAUUCUUCAAACGCAACGACGCAAGGGGACGGGUGGGACUGGCCUGGUCGGGGCUCGGUGCUGGGCUUCGGCGCAGGUGUCGGGGAGCCGCGGCCAGGGGCAAGAACGCACACGCACGUGGGGGCUGGGGGCUCCAUGUGGUCUGCGUUGCAGGGAGCAGGCACUGACCAUGGUGGCAAACCCGCAGCAGCUAGCUACGGCGGAGCGGAGCGGGAGCGAGAUAGACGAGGGAAGGGGGUAGACGACCUCACCUCACCAGACCAUCACGAUGAAGAACGGCGAGGGAAAACAUGGACAGCAGGUCAGCGAAGCUCCGGUGGGGAAGGUGCUUGGCGUCGGGGUUUCUUCGACCGCUCGCCGGAGCCGGGCCACGCCACGCCGAGCUGCGCGCAGGAGAGCCAAGGGCGGAGCUGCGCCGCCGGAAAGGGUUGGUCGUGCCCGAGGGCAGGGAGGCGCUAGAGAGAGGGGAGCGGGGCGAGGGAGAUGCAGGGGUUGUUCAAAUGGUCGACAUGGGUGGGCGGUUGGUGCUUUUCUACAUCUGGGCAAGAUGGACGGGGACAGACAGUUUUGAGGGAGAUAACAAAUGGGCCCCAUGGCGCAGUACCACGCCCCAGCGAGGGAGACUGCCCGGUAGGGCCUGGGGCAAGGAGCACCUAGGCACAGCUGUGCCAGCACGCUCGACACGCGACGUGGCUGGGCCACAGGGCGUGGGAGAUGGUCACUAAAUUUGUUGUAGAUCGCGUUCUAGUCGAGCGAGACGGUUGCACGAGACAGUGUAAGACGGAGACAGAGUUAGACGUGUGGUAGACAUGGUUAGAUAAAAUUAGACGAAGAUAGUCGGAGGCCCACGGGCCCAGGAUGACGAGAUAGAUGUCGGAAGAGUAGAUGGGGAUAGACGAGAAUAACCGACGCGAGCAGCAUGCCGUUCGCGAGAAAAAGUGGUUCAGUGAUCUCGCGAGAAAGGGCACGUGAUCUGGAACAAGCCUGACGAGAGGAAGAAAAAAUACAUAUAUUAUCAAGUUUUUUGGAAUAUUUUAGUUUUCGUAAAUACUAAAUUUUAGAGAUAAAAAUAAUACCAGAGAAUCUAGAUUUCAGCUUAAUACUCGAAAAAAGUUUCGAAUGGUUAGAAAAUCCCCCAAAACAUGCUCGAGAUAAUUUUACAUAUUUCGAAAACUUUUUGCACUCAUAAACAUUAUGCAAUGGCAUGAAUGCAACAAUCAAAGCUUCUCUAUGAUUUUAUUCUACUAUGCUAAAACUUAUAUAUAAUAAAAUAACUCUCCAUUAUUUAGAAAAAAAGAAAAGAAAAGCAAGAAAAAGAGAGGGUAACACCUGAAUUUGGUGAAUAUUAGAAAAGAAAUUUUAUACCCCUAAAUUCAGGGUGUUACAAAUCUAACCCGCUUAACAGAAUCUCGCCCUCGAGAUUCAAGAAGAGGCUAGCAAGAAAAUAAGAUUGGCUCAUUGGUUUUUCAUAGUUUGUUCUAACUCAACUUUAACUCUGCCAGCUUUAACUUGCGCACUGGUUGCUUUAACCUUCAGAUGUUCACGACCCACUGAUGCAAUUCUUAAGGAUCUCUUGGACUUGUGGGUUAGGACCCACUCACGGUUUCUCUGCGCUACUCUGAUCUUGUUGGUUGAUGUUAAUCGCAUUGCCAUAAUUGGGGUUAGCGGCUAACCCCCUUAACAGGAGCAUUGAUACGCACUUGGGGAAGAUGCUGCCGACUCUGAUCUUGACUGAUUAAGAGAGGUUGUAGGAUGUCAAUCGAACAGGUGCAAGUGGGAAGGGUAUAUAUAGAAAAGGUAAGCAUAGAUGGAUUAAAGAGAGAAAAGGGAGAGCACCCAGCUACCUUACUCUAUGGCAAUCCGCUAGUAAAAUGAUGUCAUUGCGGACCAAGGGCCACAACACAUCAACACUCAUCACAAAAAAGCAAACCAGUCAUAACAUACAAACAAACAUCACAAGCAUACAACAACAAACAUUUCGUUGCUAUAUGUUCCUUUUAAUUAAAUGGUGGACUUUCUUAAGAAGGGAAUAACUACUCUCUAAGGUUGUCGAAGGAGGAGGAGAAGAAUAGUAUGUGCAGGAUAGGGGCAUGGGCACAAUAAAGGAUGGAGUUAAAGCAAGCAAUGUAAGCGACUAGGAUAAGGAUACGACCCAAGGCAUAAUGGGCAGAACACCACUCUCGAGUUGAUAUAGAAAAGUAGAGGUUCCAAAAAGCAGACCUAAGAUAAGCAUCGAGGCAAGAUCUAGUGAUUACAAAGGUAAGGGUGGUGUCAAUAAAAAGCUAUGACUUGCAAUUCAACAGAGAAAAAGGGAACGACCAAGAGCAGAAUGGGUAAGAUAACACUCUUGAACUAAAACGGGAGAGGAGGCUUUAAAAUGCAAUGCAGGUGUAGGAUAAGCAUCAAGGUAAAGAUCGAGGGAUGACAAGGGUUAAGUGAUAACAAACAAACGCACAGCAAAAGGAUGUAUUUUAGAUAAAAUUGCAAGGUGUCAAAGAAGGCGAUCAGUCAAUGAUGAAAUAGAUGAGGCCUUAUCCUCGAACAGGGAUGGAAAAGAGGUGCUUUGAAGGGUAGGUUCAAAGUAAGCAGAAAGGCAAGGGCAUAUAUAUAUCACGAGGGUUUUAGAGGUAAUAACAGUCAAGGAUGUAGGGGAGGAGGUAAUAGGCAUAAAACAAAGGAUAUAAGUACCAUACAAGAUGGAGUUAAGAUAGGACCUGUAAAUGGAAAAGGUGAGAAUACGUCCAAGGGCCAGAUAGGUAAACUGCUACUCUCAAAUUGAGGUGGAAGAGAGGGGAUUUUUAAAGAGUAGAAAUAAAGAUGAGUAUCAAGGCAAGAUCGAUGGACGACAAGGUGAGGGUUAUAGAAAAUAAAAACACCUCAAGGGAUAGAAUUAACACAAAACUUGUAAGGCGACAAGAAGUGAAAAGAAAUUAAGGGAGAGGUAGGUACCUCGCAACUCUCAAACUGGGUUGAAAUAAAGUGGAGGCUUUCAAAGGACAAGUUUAAGGUAAGCAUUUAGGUAGAAGACAUAAAUAUCGCAAGGGUCAAACGAGAUAACAGACAAGGGUAUGAGAGAACAGAUGAAGGCAUAGAAGAGCUUGUGGUAUGAGUACAACAAAGAAUGGAGUUGCGCCCAAGCUUACACUUGGUAAAGAAGAGGAUAUAGCCAAGUGUGAGGUAAGUAAAAAAAUCGCUCUCAAAUUGGAAUAUGAAGUUGGAGAUUUUAGAUAACAGACAUAACGUAAUCACCAAGGUAAGAUCAAGGGGUGAGAAAGGUAAAGGUAAUAGCAAACAAAAGUAGGCAAAGGAUGGAGUUAAAAACUCGCAAGGGACAAAGAAGAUGAUAUGCCCAAGAGAAAAUAGGUAAAACAUACAACUCUCAAAUUGAGAUGGGAGAGGGGAGACUUUAAAGGGUAGGUAUAAGAUGAACAUCAAUGCAAGAUAUAGAAGUAUCAAGGGUAAAGGUGAUAAUCAUAAAGAGCAUAGCAAAGGAUGGACUUAAGUCAAGACUCGCGAAAUGGCAAAAUGGAGAAAACAAUCACUGGUAAGGUAGGUAAGGUUCCAACAAAAUGGUUGAAGUAAAAGAAAUUAUUACCGAGGGAAGUUAUAUGGAAACGAUGAGAACGUUAAGGAUGUGAGGAAUAGAACGAUCACUCAUAGAUCAUGAGGAAACAAAGGUGGUCAAGAGCAUGUAAAUUGAAAUGUCUUAAACAAACAUUGGGGUACAAAGGUAAGCAUUUAUAUAAAAAGUAAGAGUAUGCAAGAUUCCGAAGGUGUGAGCAUACUAAGACCAAGGGAGUACGAAUAGCCGAAAGAUAGUGACUUAACAACAGAAUAGGAAAGGGUCUCAAAAGACAGGAUGAUCAUGGACAUAUAAACUGAAAUGUUUAAGUAGGCAGUAGAAAUUCAGAGGUAAGUAUUUAAAACAAGGGUAUUGAAGAAUCCGGGGAUACGAGCAUGUCAAUACCAAUGGAAUAGAGAUUGCUAAAUGGUGGCAAUUUAAUGACAGAAGAGGAAACAAUCCGAAAAACAAGAAGGUUAUGGUCAGGGGGCAUCUACAAAGAUGUCACAAGCACAAGAGCAAGAUCAGAUCUAAUAGAUUGAGAGAAGUAUAGACCACACUAGGAUAAAAUACUUUUGGCAAGGGGGCAUAUAGGAGCACAACAUAGAAUUAGUCGAGGUGACUAAUAUUUUGAAGCAGAAUCAAGGAUGAGGUGAAGUAACAGUCAAUAAGUCCUUAAAACGGUCAAUGCUACUCUAGGCUAGCGGUCCUACAGUCAGCACGGCUUUGAUACCACUUAUGUCACACCCGGUUUUAGAAGGCAAACCGAAUGCGAACCAUGUACGUGCCAGGAUCAGCAAUUCACGUACACAACAGUUACAUAACUGGACAUCAUCACACAGUGCUCAAAUAAUAACAUAAAAGGGUAAUAAUAGUCGAUUACAUCAUAUGUCUGAGACAUCCACAUAGUCUUUACAAUAAUCAAAGUGCGGAAAAGAAACAUAGAUACACGCGGCCUUCACAGGCAGCCGACUGGGGGUUGCCGCUAACCCACGCCUAAAUCUCGUCGUAAUAUUAGAACUCCUGGAAGUCUCCUUCUACGGCUUCAUCUUCUCCUGAGCAGUGGUUGCAAUGCAGACAACCUGGGGAUGGGGGGUUUGGUGUGUAGAGCAAGGGUGAGUACACAUCAACAUACUCAGCAAGUGUCCUGUUUGGUUGUAGUGGACUAGCUUUAUGUGGGGCUAAGUCAAGCAAUUGCUUUUAGUUGGUCAGAUUAUUAUUACUAGUAGAGAAAGCCAAGUUUUAGAAUUAACCCACGUUAUUAACCCAAACGUACCCUUUCCAAACGGAAAGAAUACCACUUACUGUUACCAUAGUUAAUGCCAAACCAUCAUUCUCAUUGCCACCUGUAAUCCGAACAUCUCUGAUCAAGUGCCACUAAUCAAUGGAGCUCCC
rnacentral:lncRNA from 1 species